UGGGUUGGAACCCCUCAGAAGUCCGCAGAGAUGUGGAUGUGCCCGCAAGGGAGCUGAGUGUCCAGGUGCUGCAUGGCUGUCGUCAGCUCGUGUCGUGAGAUGUUGGGUUAAGUCCCGCAACGAGCGCAACCCUUGUCGCUAGUUGCUAACAGUUCGGCUGAGCACUCUAGCGAGACUGCCGGUGUUAAACCCGGAGGAAGGUGGGGAUGACGUCAAGUCCUCAUGGCCCUUA
rnacentral:rRNA from 1 species